rnacentral:rRNA from 1 species
UACGUAGGGCGCAAGCGUUGCUCGGAAUUAUUGGGCGUAAAGCGCACGUAGGCGGCCUGUCAAGUCGGCUGUGAAAUCCCUCGGCUUAACCAAGGAAGUGCAUCCGAAACUGGAGAGCUUGAGUACUUAAGAGGAUCGCGGAAUUCCCGGUGUAGAGGUGAAAUUCGUAGAUAUCGGGAGGAACACCAGUGGCGAAGGCGGCGAUCUGGGAAGAUACUGACGCUGAGGUGCGAAAGCGUGGGGAGCGAACAGG